rnacentral:rRNA from 1 species
GUGCCAGCAGCCGCGGUAAUACGGAGGGUGCGAGCGUUGUUCGGAAUUACUGGGCGUAAAGCGCGUGUAGGCGGCCACCUAAGUCUGAUGUGAAAGCCCGAGGCUUACCCUCGGAAGUGCAUUGGAAACUGGGUGGCUGGAGUACUGGAGAGGAGGGUGGAAUUCCUGGUGUAGCGGUGAAAUGCGUAGAUAUCAGGAAGAACACCGGUGGCGAAGGCGGCCCUCUGGACAGAUACUGACGCUGAGACGCGAAAGCGUGGGGAGCAAACAGGAUUAGAAACCCCAGUAGUCC